UAGUCUACUGGUUAAGAAGACUAUGGAUUGCCAAUCCGGAGACGACGGGUUCGAUUCCCGU
rnacentral:tRNA from 1 species